rnacentral:rRNA from 1 species
GAUGAACGCUGGCGGCGUGCCUAAUACAUGCAAGUCGAGCGAACAGAUGAGGAGCUUGCUCCUCUGACGUUAGCGGCGGACGGGUGAGUAACACGUGGAUAACCUACCUAUAAGACUGGGAUAACUUCGGGAAACCGGAGCUAAUACCGGAUAAUAUAUUGAACCGCAUGGUUCAAUAGUGAAAGACGGUUUUGCUGUUACUCAUACAUCGAUCCGCGCCGCAUUAGCUAGUUGGUAAGGUAACGGCUUACCCAGGCAACGAUGCGUAGCCGACCUGAGAGGGUGAUCGGCCACACGAGAGCUGAGACACGGUCCAGACGCCUACGGGAGGCAGCAGUAGGGAAUCUUCCGCAAUGGGCGAAAGCCUGACGGAGCAACGCCGCGUGAGUGAUGAAGGUCUUCGGAUCGUAAAACUCUGUUAUGAGGGAAGAACAAAUGUGUAAGUAACUAUGCACGUCUUGACGGUACCUAAUCAGAAAGCCACGGCUAACUACGUG